GACGAACCGAGCGAACGUUAUUCGGAAUCACUGGGCUUAAAGGGCGCGUAGGCGGGCCGUCAAGUCAGGGGUGAAAGCCCCCAGCUCAACUGGGGAAGUGCCUCUGAUACUGGCGGCCUCGAGGGAGGUAGGGGCGUGCGGAACUUCCGGUGGAGCGGUGAAAUGCGUAGAUAUCGGAAGGAACACCGGUGGCGAAAGCGGGCUGCUGGAUCUCUUCUGACGCUGAGACACGAAAGCUAGGGGAGCGAACGGG
rnacentral:rRNA from 1 species